rnacentral:rRNA from 1 species
CAGUAGCCACGGGAAUACGAAGGGGGCUAGCGUUGUUCGGAUUUACUGGGCGUAAAGCGCACGUAGGCGGACUUUUAAGUCAGGGGUGAAAUCCCGGGGCUCAACCCCGGAACUGCCUUUGAUACUGGAAGUCUUGAGUAUGGUAGAGGUGAGUGGAAUUCCGAGUGUAGAGGUGAAAUUCGUAGAUAUUCGGAGGAACACCAGUGGCGAAGGCGGCUCACUGGACCAUUACUGACGCUGAGGUGCGAAAGCGUGGGGAGCAAACAGGAUUAGAACCCGAGUAGUCCCUGUCUCUUAUACA